GUGUGCUCAUCUUCAGGGACUUUUUGUUCGUAUUAUUUUUGUUAAGAUCAAAUGAAUACAUUAUUGUUAAGAUCAAAAUAACACGUUGGAGCAUAAUUACAUCAAAUACACUAUUACAUACGCUCUAGCCCACCAUAUAAUAUAUACAGCUGUACAUUAAUUAAUGCUUUGCUGCUGUCCCGGACCAGAAAAGCCUCCAGCAGAUGUAGAAAAGUCAGACAAGAUCAAGUAGUUGUUGUUGUUAUACGUGUACACGACUGUGCAAAAUGUUAGAUCGGCAGCAAUAUCGACUACCUUAUUACAAAUUGCAGGGCACAGUUUCACAGCUUUGGGUAGUUCAAAAUAUCUUGUGCCAGUUCCUCUGUGGACUGACACUCUGUACAUUAUCUGAUAGGUACUUUAUUCAUUCCCUUAGGGAGAUUCAAGGUAUGCAUGAGCUCACGUGUUACAUAGAAGAUAGAGGGCCACUGUGCGAAUGAGCAUGCAACAGACAUCCCAAAUCUGCCUAAAAUGCUGGUAUUUACAGAGGGCUCUAGGACCCAGAGACGUCAGGAUGGUGGUUCUUGAUAUCAGUCUACCAACUGGAUUCACCCCAGAAAACUCUGACCUGGAGAUGGUAAUCACCUUCUAGUGCUAGUGCAGAAAAAUCUGAAAGCUUGUGUCAAUGGUGUAUUUAAGUGUCUUUAAAAUGAAUGUAGUAUUUUAAAUAAAAGUUUGUAGAAAGUUUACUACAUCAUGAUAAUGACCUUCUAGUGGAUGAGACAUGAAUGAUCGCAUGUUUAGGACGGCGGCGUUGCUAACUAGCUAACAGCUGACUCUGUUUAUGUGUGUGUCCAGCUGUCCAAUUCAGUGCAUCGUUACAUCAGUAACUUCCAGAUUGUAGACAACCUGAGUGACAGAGGCUCCCUGAUCAUUCACCUGUUCAAAGUAACAUCACUGUAUUUAUAAUUAUUAUUCUAUAUCAUAUCAUUUUAUGUUAUUCAUAUGCUUUUCUUUUUUUCCAAGAAGUAGGUUUCUCAAUGCUCAGUAAAUAAGUCUUUAUGACCACAGUCAACAAUCUGAGGCAGUUUUAGGCUAUUACACAAAACCAGCUUAUUGGUACCAAAGCCACGGUUCAGAACUCAGACUUGCUAAAUCAGUGUUAGUGUAGUGCAGUGUAGGGCUGCAGCCAGAGUACUGACGAUAGUUAGCAAGAGAGAUCAUAUUCCUCCUAUGCUGGUUUCUCUUCAUUGGCUUCCUGUGAAAUGUAGAAUAGAA